AGUCGUAACAAGGUUUCCGUAGGUGAACCUGCGGAAGGAUCAUUAUUGAAUAUUCUUGAUGGGUUGUAGCUGGCUCUCAGGAGCAUGUGCACACUUGUCUUGACUUUAUUCGUCCACCUGUGCACCUUUUGUAGUCUUGGGGGUUGAGAGCGGUCGACUAUCGGAUGGCUAUGGCUUGUCCGGACGUGAGGAUUGCUGAGUGCGAAAGCAUACAGCUCUUCUCAAAUGACUUGCAAAACCUCUCCCUCGAGUACUAUGUAUUCAUAUACCCCAUAGUAUGUUGUAGAAUGUGAUCAAUGGGCCUAUGUGCCUAUAAUAAUGAAAUACAACUUUCAGCAACGGAUCUCUUGGCUCUCGCAUCGAUGAAGAACGCAGCGAAAUGCGAUAAGUAAUGUGAAUUGCAGAAUUCAGUGAAUCAUCGAAUCUUUGAACGCACCUUGCGCUCCUUGGUAUUCCGAGGAGCAUGCCUGUUUGAGUGUCAUUAAAUUCUCAACCCCUCCAGCUUUUGCGAGUUGUGAUGGGGCUUGGAUCUGGGAGUUUGCGGGUCUUUAUCAAUAAAGGUCAGCUCUCCUGAAAUGCAUUAGCGGAACCGUUUGCAGUCCCGUCACUAGUGUGAUAAUUAUCUACACUGUGAUGAUUGCUCUCUGACUAGUUCAGCUGCUAAUCGUCCACUCUGGACAACACUUAAUGAACUUCUUGACCUCAAAUCAGGUAGGACUACCCGCUGAACUUAAGCAUAUCAUA
rnacentral:rRNA from 1 species